rnacentral:rRNA from 1 species
CCAGUAACGGCGAGUGAAGCGGCAACAGCUCAGAUUUGAAAUCUGGCCCCCAGGGCCCGAGUUGUAAUCUGUAGAGGAUGCUUCGGGCAAGGCGCCGUCCGAGUUCCCUGGAACGGGACGCCGGAGAGGGUGAGAGCCCCGUACAGGCGGACGCCGAGCCUAUGUGAAGCUCCUUCGACGAGUCGAGUAGUUUGGGAAUGCUGCUCAAAGCGGGAGGUAAAUUUCUUCUAAAGCUAAAUACUGGCCAGAGACCGAUAGCGCACAAGUAGAGUGAUCGAAAGAUGAAAAGCACUUUGAAAAGAGGGUUAAAAAGCACGUGAAAUUGUUGAAAGGGAAGCGCCUGUGACCAGACUCGCGCCCGGCGGAUCAUCCGGCGUUCUCGCCGGUGCACUCCGCCGGGCUCGGGCCAGCAUCGGUUCUUGUGGGUAGAUAAAGGCGGCGGGGAUGUGGCUCCCUCCGGGGUGUGUUAUAGCCCGCCGCUCAAUGUGCCC